rnacentral:rRNA from 1 species
CCUACGGGAGGCAGCAGUGAGGAAUAUUGGUCAAUGGGCGCGAGCCUGAACCAGCCAAGUAGCGUGAAGGAUGACUGCCCUACGGGUUGUAAACUUCUUUUAUAAGGGAAUAAAGUGAGGCACGUGUGCCUUUUUGUAUGUACUUUAUGAAUAAGGAUCGGCUAACUCCGUGCCAGCAGCCGCGGUAAUACGGAGGAUACGAGCGUUAUCCGGAUUUAUUGGGUUUAAAGGGAGCGUAGGUGGGUGGUUAAGUCAGUUGUGAAAGGGUGCGGCUAAACCGGAAAAUUGCAGUUGAUACUGGCAGUCUUGAGUUCAGUUGAGGUAGGCGGAAUUCGUGGUGUAGCGGUGAAAUGCUUAGAUAUCACGAAGAACUCCGAUUGCGAAGGCAGCUUACUGGACUGCCACUGACGUUGAGGCACGAAAGUGUGGGUAUCGAACAGGAUUAGAUACCCCAGUAGUC